rnacentral:rRNA from 1 species
CCCUACGGGGUGCAGCAGGCCGUCUCGCGUGAUCCCAAAGGAAAUCCCAUGGCGUUGAUCGUGGACGCGUCGGGCAAGGUCGCCCAGCGCAUGCUCACUCUGGACCGGGCCAUCGGCGAUCAAUGGCUCGUUACCUCCGGUCUGGCCCCCGGCGACCGGGUCAUUGCGGAAGGCAUGCAGAAAGUGCGGCCGGGUGUCCCGGUUAAAGAGGCGUCUUUUGGCAAAGACGGGAAGCCGGAGGGGGCCGCGCCUCCAGCCGCAACCGCCAAACCCACCACCAAACCGAACUAGCGAAGGACCUCCAUGUUAUCAAGGUUCUUUCUAAAGCGCCCGGUCUUUGCCUGGGUCAUCGCCAUUAUCCUGAUGGUGGCGGGAGGGC